rnacentral:rRNA from 1 species
AUACACCUACGGGAGGCAGCAGUAGGGAAUCUUCGGCAAUGGACGAAAGUCUGACCGAGCAACGCCGCGUGAGUGAAGAAGGUUUUCGGAUCGUAAAACUCUGUUGGUAGAGAAGAACGUUGGUGAGAGUGGAAAGCUCAUCACGUGACGGUAACUACCCAGAAAGGGACGGCUAACUACGUGCCAGCAGCCGCGGUAAUACGUAGGUCCCGAGCGUUGUCCGGAUUUAUUGGGCGUAAAGGGGGCGCAGACGGCGCUGCAAGUCAGGAGUGAAAGCC